AUAAGACGAGAAGACCCUAUGGAGCUUUAAUUAACUAUUCCAAAAGUUAAACAACUCAACCACAAAGGGAUAAAACAUAACUUAACAUGGACUAGCAAUUUCGGUUGGGGUGACCUCGG
rnacentral:rRNA from 1 species